rnacentral:rRNA from 1 species
CCUACGGGAGGCAGCAGUGAGGAAUAUUGGUCAAUGGACGCAAGUCUGAACCAGCCAUGCCGCGUGCAGGAAGACGGCUCUAUGAGUUGUAAACCGCUUUUGUACGAGGGUAAACGCAGAUACGCGUAUCUGUCUGAAAGUAUCGUACGAAUAAGGAUCGGCUAACUCCGUGCCAGCAGCCGCGGUAAUACGGAGGAUUCAAGCGUUAUCCGGAUUUAUUGGGUUUAAAGGGUGCGUAGGCGGUCGGAUAAGUUAGCGGUGAAAUCCCGAGGCUCAACUUCGGAAUUGCCUUUGAUACUGUUUGGCUAGAGAGUAGUAGCGGUAGGCGGAAUGUAUGGUGUAGCGGUGAAAUGCUUAGAUAUCAUACAGAACACCGAUUGCGAAGGCAGCUUACCGGGCUACUUCUGACGUUGAGGCACGAAAGUGUGGGGAGCAAACAGGAUUAGAUACCCGAGUAGUC